rnacentral:rRNA from 1 species
AGUGAACGCUGGCGGUAGGCCUAACACAUGCAAGUCGAACGGCAGCACAGUAAGAGCUUGCUCUUACGGGUGGCGAGUGGCGGACGGGUGAGGAAUACAUCGGAAUCUACUUUUUCGUGGGGGAUAACGUAGGGAAACUUACGCUAAUACCGCAUACGACCUACGGGUGAAAGCAGGGGAUCUUCGGACCUUGCACGAUUGAAUGAGCCGAUGUCGGAUUAGCUAGUUGGCGGGGUAAAGGCCCACCAAGGCGACGAUCCGUAGCUGGUCUGAGAGGAUGAUCAGCCACACUGGAACUGAGACACGGUCCAGACUCCUACGGGAGGCAGCAGUGGGGAAUAUUGGACAAUGGGCGCAAGCCUGAUCCAGCCAUACCGCGUGGGUGAAGAAGGCCUUCGGGUUGUAAAGCCCUUUUGUUGGGAAAGAAAAGCAGCAGGUUAAUACCCCGAUGUUCUGACGGUACCCAAAGAAUAAGCACCGGCUAACUUCGUG